rnacentral:sRNA from 2 species
CGACUCGAGCGAAGCGAGAGAACGUUGCGCCAGCAACGGCCCGCAGGGCGAGCCACGAAGUGGCGAGUAAUCCUCUAUCACCGACCA